rnacentral:tRNA from 1 species
GAGGGUAAAGCUCAGUGGUAGAGCACAUGCCUGGCAUGCACAAGGUCCUGAGUUCAAUCCCCAGUACCUCCA